UGGGGAAUAUUGCACAAUGGGGGAAACCCUGAUGCAGCGACGCCGCGUGAGCGAAGAAGGUUUUCGAAUCGUAAAGCUCUGUCCUAUGGGAAGAUAAUGACGGUACCAUAGGAGGAAGCCCCGGCUAACUACGUGCCAGCAGCCGCGGUAAUACGUAGGGGGCAAGCGUUGUCCGGAAUCACUGGGCGUAAAGGGUUCGCAGGCGGAAAUGCAAGUCAGUUGUGAAAGGCAGAGGCUCAACCUCUGUAAGCAAUUGAAACUGUAUUUCUUGAGAUGUGGAGAGGCAAGUGGAAUUCCUAGUGUAGCGAUGAAAUGCGUAGAUAUUAGGAAGAAUACCGGUGGCGAAGGCGACUUGCUGGACACAAACUGACGCUGAGGAACGAAAGCGUGGGUAGCAAACAGG
rnacentral:rRNA from 1 species